rnacentral:rRNA from 1 species
AGUAAAAGUCGUAACAAGGUUUCUGUAGGUGAACCUGCAGAAGGAUCAUUAGUGAAGAUUUGGGCAGGCCAUACGGACGCCAAAAAGUGUCCCUGGCCGCCUACACCCACUAUACAUCCACAAACCCGUGUGCACUGUCUUGGAGAAAGGCUUCAGAGAAGUUUUUUGCGGCCUCUCUUGGGGUCUUUCUUCGCUACAAACUCGAAUGGUUAGUAUGAACGUGGAACUUGGUUGGACCGUCACUGGCCAACAAACUAUACACAACUUUCGACAACGGAUCUCUUGGUUCUCCCAUCGAUGAAGAACGCAGCGAAACGCGAUAGGUAAUGUGAAUUGCAGAAUUCCGUGAAUCAUCGAAUCUUUGAACGCACCUUGCGCUCUAUGGCAAUCCGUAGAGCAUGCCUGUUUGAGUGCCAUGAAAUCUCCCACCCCAAGCGGUUUUUAAAUGAAACGGCUUGGCGGAUGGGGCCUGGAUGGGUGCCUCUGCCUGCGCUACCUAGCACAGGCUCGCCCGAAAUGCAUGAGCGCCUUGAGACACUUUGCAUCCGCCUCUCUGUUUGGGAGGAGGCGGCCAAGCAGUGUUUUUCUCCUGGCAUGGCAUGAUACGUCAUUUGCUAUGUCGCCUAAAGGAGGAAUGUUUGGUUGUGUCUGCGUGUGCUUCGAACUUGCCUCUGUGGCACAUCCCAAUUUCACUUCUGGUCUCAAAUCAGGUAGGAUCACCCGCUGAACUUAAGCAUAUCAAUA